CAUUUUUAAUAGUGAUCUUUAUAUUUUCCUCUAUUUAUAGAGGUGACUCUAUUUUAAAGGCAUUAUGUUCAAAUGGUCACCUCUAAAAUAGAGUUUUCUCUAUAAUAGAGGAAGAAAUAGAAAUAUUUACUUUUUGUCUCUAUAAAUAGAGAUCUCUACAAUUCAUCUCUAAUUUUUCUUCUAUUUUUGAGGAAACUCUAUUUUAGAGGUGACCAUUGGAGCACAAUGCUUCUAAAAUAGAGGCACCUCUAAAAUAGAGAAAAUUAUAGAGGUGACCAUUGGAGAUG